ensembl:misc_RNA Metazoa_SRP Metazoan signal recognition particle RNA
GCCGAGCGCGGUGGCGCGCGCCUGUAGUCCCAGCUACUCGGGAGGCUGAGGCAGGAGGAUCGCUUGAGCCCAGGAGUUCUGGGCUGUAGUGCGCUAUGCCGAUCGGGUGUCCGCACUAAGUUCGGCAUCAAUAUGGUGACCUCCCGGGAGCGGGGGACCACCAGGUUGCCUAAGGAGGGGUGAACCGGCCCAGGUCGGAAACGGAGCAGGUCAAAACUCCCGUGCUGAUCAGUAGUGGGAUCGCGCCUGUGAAUAGCCACUGCACUCCAGCCUGGGCAACAUAGCGAGACCCCGUCUCUU